rfam:Facklamia ignava CCTG 37419 genomic scaffold supercont1.1, whole genome shotgun sequence.
GCACCCUUAGCUCAAUUGGAUAGAGUACUUGACUACGAAUCAAGCGGUUGCAGGUUCGACUCCUGCAGGGUGUG